rnacentral:rRNA from 1 species
UACGGGGGGGGCAAGCGUUGUUCGGAAUUACUGGGCGUAAAGCGUAUGCAGGCGGAUCGUUAAGUCGGGGGUGAAAUCCCGAGGCUCAACCUCGGAACUGCCUUCGAUACUGGCGACCUUCGAGUCCGGGAGAGGUGAGUGGAACUCCGAGUGUAGAGGUGAAAUUCGUAGAUAUUCGGAAGAACACCAGUGGCGAAGGCGGCUCACUGGCCCGGUACUGACGCUGAGAUACGAAAGCGUGGGGAGCAAACAGG